rnacentral:rRNA from 1 species
GCCAGACUCCUACGGGAGGCAGCAGUGGGGGAUAUUGCACAAUGGGGGGAACCCUGAUGCAGCGACGCCGCGUGGGUGAAGGAGCACCUCGGUGCGUAAAGCCCUAUCGGCAGGGAAGAAACAGACGGUACCUGACUAAGAAGCCCCGGCUAACUACGUGCCAGCAGCCGCGGUAAUACGUAGGGGGCAAGCGUUAUCCGGAUUUACUGGGUGUAAAGGGAGCGUAGACGGUGAUGCAAGUCAGAAGUGAAAGCCCGGGGCUCAACUCCGGGACUGCUUUUGAAACUGUGUGACUGGAGUGCAGGAGAGGUAAGCGGAAUUCCUGGUGUAGCGGUGAAAUGCGUAGAUAUCAGGAGGAACACCAGUGGCGAAGGCGGCUUACUGGACUGUAACUGACGUUGAGGCUCGAAAGCGUGGGGAGCAAACAGGAUUAGAUACCCGUGUAU